rnacentral:misc_RNA from 1 species
AAGAAGAUGAAAGUGUACUGUUGUUCCUUAAUCGUCGUUUUUUUCUCAUGGAGUAGUAUUCUAAUAGAGUGUCAUGCAUCCUCCCAGAGGCUCCAAACGAACAAAAUCAGUAGCAUAUUCGGGAUUUUUAGAGAGAAAAAAAGAGGUAACGAUGAAAUUGAGGCGGAAAACUGUAACUUUUACACUAAAAAAUCUUACGAAAACGGAAUUUAUUCUAUUCGGUUAUCAAAUCAGACUAUAACUAAAGUUUAUUGCUCAUGGAUAAAUAAUACAUCCUAUACAUUGGUACAACGACGGGGCCAAUUUGGCAACUCUAUCAACUUUUUCAAUAGGGACUGGAAUUCGUAUGAAGCAGGGUUUGGAACCCCAUUGGGAGAAUAUUGGUUGGGUUUGGAAAAUUUAAAAGAAUUAACAGAUAAAAAAGGAAUGGAUAUGAUACUAUCAUUUUAUGAUAAGAACAAUACUUUUCAAAGCAUAACUCUUCAAAAUAUUACAUUUGGAAGCAAUGCAACAGGAUAUAAGCUUCACUAUAAUGGUGUUCACACUCAUAAUUUGGAUUUAAUUCCUAGUUUACCAUUGGUGAAUUCUUCAUUUUCUACAUGGAACAGAGACUUUUCAAAUAAAUGUGCAUCCAGUUCAAAUGCAGCUUGGUGGUUCCAUCCAAAUAAUUGUUUUUCUUCGAACUUGAAUGGUUUAAAUCUGAAUGGACAACUAUCAAAAGAAUAUUCAAAGGGUUGGGGUAUUAUUUGGGAGUCCUAUUUAGGUCUAAGCUUUUCUAUUACAAAGGCCAUGAUAGAGAUAACGGAUCAUGAUGUGCUCAAGCAAUCCCUCAAUCUAGACAAUGUGAUCGUUGAAGAAAGAUCUAGUAACAAAGAAAAACUAAGUUUAGACGUAGAAGCUUCUUUAAAUAUCUCUCAAAUUACAAUAAACUCACAAAAUAUUUCAAAUAUUAAGAAUGGUACUCAAAAACCAUUCGUUUACAUUUCUAAAGUACCAACAAUUUCAUAUGAAAGGACGUUUUGUAGGAAGGAUUUGAUUUUAGUCGGCUGUAAACAUGAAAAAGGAAUGCUUCAGGUACUUGAAACCUCUAUCAGUGAACAAUGUUCUUCAAACGCUAUCAAUUCGAAGUCAAAUAAUAGUUGUCUUUCAAUAAAGGAAGACUUUUUCUUGCAAUUCCUACAAAAUGAGUGUAAUGGCAAAGAACAUUGUCUAAUAGGUAAUGCAAAUAAGUUUGUAUUAGGAAAUUCAUCUUGUAUGGAAGGAAAUAUGGGAAUAAACAUUGUUUAUACUUGUAGAAACAUAGAUAGACCCUCUAUAAAAGGAAAAAAAUCAUUGAAUAGGGAUUAUAGAAUCCAUUAUGCAUUGGAUGGAGCUACGUCAAACAUAGAUAAAUACUAUUACAAAAGUGUAACAAUGCCGGAUCCCUGGAUAUCAAUAGAUCUUAAAUCAUAUUCAACAAUCAGCUCCAUUGUGAUUAUGUUUCGAAACAAUAUCAGUAACAUUCAAAUCUCUGUGUCCUUGUACAGAGUUCCAAUUAAUCAAAAUACUUAUAAUACCAGUAAUGUUGAAUGCUUAUUGAAAAAUGAAUUGAUAAAUAAAAACAAAAUCCGAUCUCAAUGUGAAUCAAACAAUAGUGGUCGAUACAUUUGGAUACAAUUAACUGGUAACUAUUCCUUAGAAGUUGAAGAAAUAUACAUUCGAUCCAAAAUGAACAGCUAUAUAGAAGAUUGUAUGGUUCUUCAUGAAGAUGUAGAUGCCAGUGAUAUAUUUAAAACAUAUAAGAACAUAUCAAUGGAAAACUGCCGUGGUCUUUGUGGAAUCUUAUCCAAUUGUUUUGGAUUUUCAUAUGAUUUAGAAGAAACUAUAUGUCAUUUAUCAAAUGGAACAGCUCGAGUUCAGACAACUAAAUAUAUUGUUUCAGGGAAUAAAAGCUGUAUUGGGGAUGUUACACAACCAACAAAUCUACAAAAAGAAUGUCAGUAUGAAUCAACAAAAGCAAUAGGAGAGUCAAUUGACAAAUAUUCUUCAAUACCAUCCGUGACGUUGUGCAAGAGUAUAUGUAGGCAUAUUCAAGCAUGUCAAGCAUUCACGUAUAGUCGGAACACAUCUACAUGUACAUUGCUCGCAGAUGCAGAGUUGUCUGAUAGAGAUCAUAACUAUGUGACUGGGCAUAAGUCCUGUGACGGAUAUAUUCCAAAUUGUUUUGUGAACGAUUUUGAAUAUUCGGGGACUGAUGUAGACGUUGUCAAAAAUGUUGGGCAUGUUCAAGAAUGCCAAAAACUUUGUCAAGAUAUACCAUAUUGCUUCUUUUGGACAUAUCAUUCAGAUAUAGAACAAUGUACAAGAAAAUCAUCAGUUAGAAGGAUAAAGCACCAUAGUUUUGCUACAUCUGGCUCAAGAAAUUGCCAUGAUUCUAUAAUCAAAAGUGUGGAAUUCACUGGAUAUGGAAGCUUAGAUCAAUAUGUAGAUGUUAAGACUCUAGACGAUUGUCAGCAAAAAUGUCAAGAAGAUUAUCGAUGUUCCUUCUGGAAUUUAUAUUCAAUAUCGUCCAAUAAGUCUUUAAAAAUUUGUGAAACGAGGUAUUCCUACAGUGACUUGGCCUUCAAUCACAACUGCAAAUCGGGAUACAAAUGGAAUAAUUUUUUUACCAAAACAUGCAAAAAGUAUUGAUUGUUCAUGGGAGGGAGUAAAAUUGCAGACUGGUCCACUAGAUCUAAUAGAAGGAAGAGUUUUUUCGCAUGACCAAUGUCAAUACUUUUGUAGAACAAAGGAAAACUGUACAUUCUGGAGCUAUCAUCACAAAAAAGGGAAGUGUUUCUUGUUUGACACCAACUCUAUGGAACAUUUAAAAAAUGAUAUGGGUUUCAUAUCUGGUCCGAAGUACUGUGAUGGUACAUGCUAUUCCAAAAACGUUCGAUUCAAUGCAAAGAAAAUUUUGACAUUAAAUAAUGUUAAAUCACCAGUGACUUGUCAAAGUU